AUUGAACGCUGGCGGCAUGCUUUACACAUGCAAGUCGAACGGUAACAGGUCUUCGGAUGCUGACGAGUGGCGAACGGGUGAGUAAUACAUCGGAACGUGCCUAGUAGUGGGGGAUAACUACUCGAAAGAGUGGCUAAUACCGCAUGAGAUCUACGGAUGAAAGCAGGGGAUCGCAAGACCUUGUGCUACUAGAGCGGCCGAUGGCAGAUUAGGUAGUUGGUGGGAUAAAAGCUUACCAAGCCGACGAUCUGUAGCUGGUCUGAGAGGACGAUCAGCCACACUGGGACUGAGACACGGCCCAGACUCCUACGGGAGGCAGCAGUGGGGAAGUUUGGACAAUGGGCGCAAGCGUGAACCAGCAAUGCCGCGUGCAGGAUGAAGGCCUUCGGGUUGUAAACUGCUUUUGUACGGAACGAAAAGCCCUGGGUUAAUACCCUGGGGUCAUGACGGUACCGUAAGAAUAAGCACCGGCUAACUACGUGCCAGCCGCCGCCGUAA
rnacentral:rRNA from 1 species